GCCCCUAAAGCCCAAUUAACGCGGUUCUAAGCCCAUUUAGAUACUGACUCUUAAUCAGUGGGUUCCCGGUUCAAGUCCGGGGGGGGGGCA
rnacentral:tRNA from 1 species